UAUUAAGUUGGUCCAAAAGUAAUUGAGGUUUUCGCCAUUACUUUUAAUGAAAUACCCUAACUUACUUUUAAUGACAAAAACUGCAAUUAUUUUUGCACCAACCUAUAC
rnacentral:miRNA from 1 species